AAAAGGAGUAGUGGCAGCAAAGAGGUUAAUUCUCAUCUUUUCAUGAAGAAAUUGCAAGAAUUGGAAGGCGCAGCGGUCCAGCUUCAGUAUCCAUUGAGAUCAAACCUAAAGAAAUGGACCCAUCUCUAUUCAAAAUGAAUUUCCUUUAUACAAAAACCACAAAGGAAACUGAAGCUACAUUUCUAAAUACUGAAAAGCAAAGAAUAAAAGGUGACUUUUCCCUUAAA